GAGCCACUAGCUCAGUCCGGCAGAGCACCUGACUUUUAAUCAGGGUGUCGGUGGUUCGAAUCCACCGUGGCUCACCA
rnacentral:tRNA from 1 species